rnacentral:rRNA from 1 species
UACGUAGGGGGCAAGCGUUAAUCGGAAUUAUUGGGCGUAAAGAGCUCGUAGGCGGUUUGUCGCGUCGAAUGUGAAAACCCGGGGCUCAACCCCGGGCCUGCAUUCGAUACGGGCAGACUAGAGUUCGGUAGGGGAGUCUGGAAUUCCUGGUGUAGCGGUGAAAUGCGCAGAUAUCAGGAGGAACACCGGUGGCGAAGGCGGGACUCUGGGCCGAUACUGACGCUGAGGAGCGAAAGCGUGGGGAGCAAACAGG